ensembl:lncRNA
GAUCUGUGUCUUGCUAUUUUGGAUGGCUUGUUAAAGUUUUGAAUCGAAGGAGAGCUGCAAGUUGUUCCAUUCUGGUGCAAGAUGGCAACAUAGGAAGAUCCUGAGCUCACCUCCUCCCAUGGACACACUGAAGAAAUCCAAAAUCUAGCUGAGUGACUCCUACAGCUCAGGUGAAUGAAAAAAACCCACAUCGAAAUGGGUAGGAGAGACUGAGAUAAUCUCGCCAUAGACCCCACCCCUGGCUGGCAACCCACAAUCAGGAGGGAACUCACAACUCCAGCUUCUUGCUGAGGCUUGAACCCCACAUCUGGCACCCCAACUUUUACAACCUGCACCCAAUCUACCCAGUGGGGCUUGCAUCCCCCAGACCCAUAAGGCUUAGUGAACUGAGAAAAUUCUUAAAGGGCUCUCGUGGACCAUGACUAACCCUGGCUACCCACAAGGGCACAGUGCAGAGGCAGGCCAGACUUUCUGUAGGAGAGACCUCUUGCUUAUCUUAAAAGCUUCAACCUGAGGGGCAGGCAUUUAACUUAACACACAUCUAGAGGCCACUGAAUUACUCUCCAAAGACUGUAGAGGCCAGCAGCUGCCACCUUUGCACUCUCCUUCUGCCUUGCUCCAGGUUGCUAGUAUCUCCCAGAAAGGAGCCUGUGCACAUGUCUGGGGCCCCAGCUUUUGCAGCUGCCACCCAGGAGAUGCUCCCUGAUCACCUGGCUCUGGGGGCCAGUGGGACUUAAUAUUCACAGGUCCCACAGGACUGUAAUAAACAGAAACAGUUCUUAACCAGCUGCCCCUCCAGGGCACAGCACAGAGGCAGCAGACAGAAACUCCCAGUCUUUCCAUGAAAGAGGCCUAUUGGGUUAUCUUCAUAGCCACAGCCUGAGGGGCAGGCUUCUAAUUAAACACACAUCUAGGGGCUGACUGCAAUCCUCUCCAGAGACCAGGGAGGCCAGUGGGUGCCAUCUUUGUGCCCUCCCUCUACCCUGCCCCAGGUCACCAGUGCCUCCAAGAAAGGAGCUUGUGCACAUGUCUGGCAUCCUGGCUUCGUGCCUGCCAACCAGAGGACACGGCCCUUGGUAACCUGGCUCUGGUAGCCAGUAGGGCUUGUGUUCAUGAGAUCAAAGGGAUGGUAGCAAACAAACAGUUCUUAACUGGCUAUAACCCCAGGACUCAGUGCAGAGGGUGCAGACAGAAAUACCCAUCUCCCAGUCCUCCCCUGAAAGAAGUAUAUUCACAUUAAAAGCUGCUGCCUGAGGGUCUAGCUUCCAAUCAACCUGAAUCUGGAUGCUGACUGAGAUCCUCCUCUUUGGAACACUGAUAGGUCUUGGCACACCCUCAGCUACUGAGAGCCACUAAGAACAAAGCCGGCUGCUUGGACAGUCACAAAGACUUGAGAGACAAUCGGAAACUAGGGCAGGGUUGAACAGUAAGUUUCAUCUCCUGCACAAGACCACUCCCUCAAGACUGGGAGAGGUGGCUGCUUUAUCUAAUGCAUAGAAACCAACACUAGGAGUCAAGGAAAAUGAAUAAACAAAGGAAUAUGUUCCCAAUGAAAGAACGAUAAAAUUUCAGAAAAAUACCUUAAUGAAACAGAGAUAAGUGAUUUACCUGAUAUAGGGUUCAAAAUAGCAGUCAUAAAGAUGCUCACUGAGGUCAGGAGAACAAUUCAUGAACAAAGUGAGAA